rnacentral:lncRNA from 1 species
UGCAAAAUGAUAAUAAAUUUCAGUGGAGACGCCUACAUAGAGUAACACCAUCGCCAAUAGAAACUUGCGAGAACUCUACACGUUGAUCCCGAGACAGGUAGUCAUUGAGUUCCUGUAUAGCCUUUGUUGAGUCCCUGAAAAGCUCUGGAACUUCAUUUUCUUCUUGAGCAACAAAUCCAAACCAUAGGGUGUUAUCAUAAGCAAUUAUUCCUCCAAUCUUAACUAAUUUCAACAAUUGCUCAUGGUAAUUUUUGUAAUUGGGAGCAUCUACAAAUGCCAUGUCAAAUUCUUCUUUCUCCUUUUCCUGUUGUUUAUAUAUACAAUGAAAAAAACAAAAUAAAUAAAAUCCAAAUAUAUAGAUAUAUAUUAGGCUAAAACUUUAUGAAAGUUGCAUACAUUGUUUAACAUUUCACUUAAUACUGAAAUAGCAUUAGAGUGAAUGAAAUUGAUUUUGUGCUCGACGCCAGCCUUACGAAUGAAUGGUAAUCCAAAUUCAUAAGCUUCUUGAUCAAUGUCUAUUGCUUUUAUCUGUUCACAAAAUUUCUCAGCAGGCACAAGGUUACUUCUUCGUUAAAAAGAGAAACAAAAAGGCACUAUAUACGUAUAAUGCAGAAGAGUAGAUACAAUCUUCAAAAUGAAAUUAGUCCCAUACUAAAAAAGGGCGGAAACAGGAUAAGAAAAGAACAUAAAUUACCCGGCCAUCAUGAGGCAACGCAAGGGCAAUUGAAAGAAGAGAAUAGCCAGUAAAAACACCAAUCUCUAAUGUCCUUUUCGCGUUCAUCAUCUUCACAAUCAUUGAUAGGAACUGCGCUUCAUCAACUGGCACUGCCAUUAUGCUCCUGCAACAAGUAAAUUUUUUGAAACAUUUAUAAACUUUUCUAAUAUUUAUGGAUCUAUAUAGUAAUUACUUACAAGUUUCCAUAUUUCUUCUCCGUAGCUUUUCGUAAAUUCUUGAGUUCCUGUUGCUCUCUAGGACAUGCACUUGUUUCAUAGAUAUACUGUAGCAAAAUUAAUUGCUUCGUUAUAAUUAAUUGAACAGAGAUAAAAAGAAAGAAAACAAAUUAAACAGAGUUCCGACCUGUUUCUUUUAUAUAUACAAACCUUCAAUAGAGCUUCGCUCUGAAGGAUUCCUUUACGAGGUAAACUGUGCGCCAUGCCUGACUUCGUCCUUUUCUUCUUCUUUUAUCUUUAAUUAUAAAACUAGUUUUUUUACAUCUUUUUGCAAUAGCACCGCGUGUCGUCUGCAUGCACAAAUAAAGACAAAUGAAACCCGCCACAUGUGAAUGAAUGGAGAUACCCAUGUGGGUAUGGAAUUCUCAUUGAAAAGACCUCUUCUUGAAAGGGAAAUAAUCAUCUCAUAUGAGUUGCUCAGAUGCUUAUUAGGUACUAAGGUUAGGAAAUUAUCUAGAACCCUUCUAGGAACGGACUUAUUCAGUCAGAUCGUGCCGGGGUUUUUUUUUUAUAGGUAAUUUAAUUAUUUUAUUAAUUUUUAUAUAUUCAGAAAAAAUUUAACAUUUUCAGAUAUCUGAUCCCGAGUUAAUAGACUUACUCCGAACAAAUUCAACAUAACCUGAAAAUGUUACGUAAAAAAUAAUCUGAAAACUAAAAGAGUACAAAAUUCAUAAUAGAUAACUAUUUCUUCUCUUAAAAUAAGAGAAUAAAUAGUUGAAAUAAACCAAAUCCAAAAACUUCAUAUCCAAGUCAAAAAAUCACUCUGCGCAUAAACUCCCUUUUUAGCCAACACAUCAGCAAAAUUAUUCUUGCUUCUUUUGAUAAGAUAAAAAAUAAUGUGUACUAAAGAUGAGAUCAAACAAUCCAACCUGGUAAAUUUUUUUCACCAAUGCCACGAUGUAUUAUUUGUGUUCAACAUCCAAUCAAUCACAUUCUUGAAUCAGACUCACUAGUAAGGGGAAAGAAUUUAUAUGCGAGGAAGAGAAGACUUCGAUUGCAAAGGAUUGUCAGAAAUUCUGCUUCAUCUGAAUCUGCAACACCCACUGAUUUGUAGAAUAUACAUAACACUUGACCAUGGGAGUUUCUAAGAACACCAUCAAGUCCUGUAGGGCCUGACUUUCCAAUGGAUGAUCCAUCAACAUUGAAUUUUAAAGAUCCAUCGGGUGGAUUAUCCCAAUCUGUACAGGGGAGGGGUCUAAUAUUGUUGGAAAUAGUAUUUCCUAUAUUAGUACACACUAAAAACUGAAAAGAAACUCCAAUUUGAGAAUGAAGCUAUAAGAUAGAUCGAAAUUUAGCUCUUAAUAACUUAAAACUUUUCCUUUUUACAGUUUCUAAAACCUGAGCUGAAUCCAUUCUUUCAUUCGAAAAAAUAAACUUGUUCCUUCUCAUCCAUAUAGUAACAAAAAAUAGCGCAUUCCAAAUCAAGUUUGCUCUUGUCAAUAAUAAAAAGCUUUCCCAAUGCCAACCAAGAUUAAGUAAACUGCAAGAAAACACACUUGAUACACCCCACGAGUUAAGAAUCAUGAUCCAAACCUCUCUAGCAAAGAAACAUGUUAGUAAGCAAUGAUCCGUGAUCUCGAUCUACUUCAUUGUUGCACAAGGGGCCAAAGCAAUCUCUAAUAUAUUGAAUAACAUUCGGAAUGAACAAGUUUUGUUUAUAAGGAAUCUUAUUUAAAAAACAUUUCCAAAUAGAAAUAGAAAUUUUUGAUGGGAUGAAUGAAGACCAAAUAAGUUUUUGAUUAUAAUUGACUUCCACCUCACCAACCUCUUUUUCUUCCAAAAUAAGAUUGAAAUUUUUCGCAUAGAAUUGCUUGCUUUUAUUAAAGGACCAAAACAUUUUGUGUGAUGCAUUCAUAUUCAAAGAAAUACCUGCCAAUUCAGAAGAAAAUUGAGACCAAGUUUCCUCCUCGAAACUUCUAAGCUCUUUAAUCCAGUUCACUUACCAAACCCAAUUACUUUCCAUGAAGUAACCAUUUUCACACACAAGGGACUUUUUAUUUGCAGCUAAACAAAAAAGUCUAGGGUAAAUGGCUCUAAUUGGGAUAUCAAAUAACCAAAGUCUAACCAGAAAUGUAUUUGACACCCGUUUCCAAUUAGCCAUCUAAAACCACAUUUUAAAAUAUCUAAAACAGGAGAAAAAAAUAUUACCAAUUGAAACUAUAUCUCACUAGAUAGGUGAAAGUUUCCUCCAAAGUAUAACAUCUGGAUUUGCAAACGGAGAUGCUUCAUUGCCAUAUUUCGCAAUAAGAAUGUUUUUCCAAAGAAAACCUCUCUCUGGUUUAAACCUCUACCACCGUUUACCUAGCAAAGUUACGUUUUUUUCUUUUGAUUGAAGUAAUCCCCAAACCUCCAUAUUUUGUAUUUCUAGCAAUAGAAUGCCAAGCCACCCAAUUUAGUGGUUAUUCAGUGGUGUCGAAUCCUCGCUUUCUCUUUACCCUAACCUGUGGAUGGGCAUAGCCCCACCAAAAGUUGAACUUUUGUUCUGGCUCAUUCUUCGGAAUGGUAUUAACACUAAAGACAAUCUGGUUAGGAAGGUUAUUCUUUCGAAAGAUGCUUGUUUUUGCUCUUUUUGUAAUCACGUUCUUGAGUCACCCAGUCACCUUUUCGGCUUGAAAAUUGUGGUGCAAGUGUUUAUCGUGGUGGGGAAUCUCUUUUUGUACCUCUAGCAGUCUUAAAGAUCAUUUUGGUCAUUGGUCGUUUUCGCUCGGGGUCGGGGUUGGUUCCAAUCUAGAUUCUGGUGGGCAACCUUCUAUUCUGUGAUUUGGACUCUUUGGAAGGAAAGGAAUGAAUCCACUUUUAGGAAUUCCUGUUUGAUGAAGAAAGACUUUUUGAUCUGUUGUUGUACAGAGCUUGUGCAUGGAUCAAAGCACCGUUCCCGAUUUUCCUUGCACUUUAAAUCAAGUAAUCUCUACUACUUCCUCUAUUUACCAUUGGAGAAUCUCUAAACCAACCAGAUCUUUAGUUAAUUGGCUUCCUCCUACUAAAUAUUAUCUGAAAUGGAAUGUUGCUGUACUGGGCACCAACAGCUCAGGUUCUAAUCAUUACCAAUUAAUAUUACAGACGGAUUGUGCUUUAUCUUGUAGGCGAAAGAAAGAAUUGGCAGUAAAAACAAUGCAAGUAUUAUAAUUUUAUUUUAGGGAUGAAAAUAAUAAAACACCAUCUAUCAUCUCAUCUCCAACAAACAAAAUCUAAAUAGCAAUGCAACAUGGUAGUAAAUUUUCAAUAUAGACGCCUACAUAAAGUAACACCAUCACCAAUUGAAACUUGUGAGAUCUCUACACGUUGAUCCUGAGAUAGGUAGUCGUUCAUCUCCAGUAUACACUUUCUUGUAUCCCUGAAAGGCUCUGGAACUGCAUUUUCUUCUUGAGCAACAAAUCCAUACCAUAAGGUGUUAUCGUAAGCAAUUAUUCCUCCAAUCUUAACUAAUUUCAGCAAUUGCUCAUGGUAAUUUUUGUAAUUGUGCUUAUCAGCAUCUACAAAUGCCAUGUCAAAUUCUUCUUUCUCCUGUUCCUGUUGUAAAUAUACAGAAAAAAAACACUAAAACAAAUAAAAUCCUAAUGUAGAUAUAUUUAGGCAAAACAUUUUAUGAAAGUAUGCAUACAUUGUUUAACAUUUCACUUAAUACUGAAGUAGCAUUAGAGUGAAUGAAAUUGAUUUUGUGCUCAACGCCUGCCUUGCGAAUGAAUGGUAAUCCAAAUUCAUAAGCUUCUUGAUCAAUGUCUAUUGCUGUUAUCUGUUCACAAAAUUUUUCAGCAGACCAAGGUUAAUUCUUCAUUUAAAAGGGAGGGAGAAAAAAAAAAGCCAGGUUUAUGCAGAACUGUAGAUAGGAACUCCAAAAUGAAUUAGUCCCAUACCAAAAAAAGGCGAAAAAAAGUAAGAAGAGUAUAUAAAUUACUCGGCCGUCAUGAGGCAAGGCAAGAGCAGUUGAAAGAAGAGAAUAGCCAGUAAAAACACCAAUCUCUAUUGUCCUUUUCGCGUUCAUCAUCUUCACAAGCAUUGAUAGGAACUGCCCUUCAUCAGCUGGUACUGACAUUAAGCUCCUACAAUUCAAAUUUUUUCAAACAUUUGUAAACUUUUCUAAUAUUUAUUGAUCAUAUAUAUAGUAAUUACUUACAGGUUUCCAUAUUUGUUCUCUGUAGCUUUUCGUAAAUUCUUGAGUUCCUCGUGCUCUCUUGGAUAUACACUUUUUUCAUAGAUAUACUGUAACAAAAUUUCAUAACUUUCAAAAAACAUUCAAUGGACAUAAUUCGAGUGCUUAAUGUCUUUUUCUCUAGAUAUACAAGUAACUAAUGCAAUUUAAAAUGCUUAAUUGCUGCGGUGAAGAUAAAUAAUUAAUUGCUUCGCAAUUAUUAAUUGAGCAGAGAUAAAAAGGAAGAAAAUAAAUCAGAGAUCAACCGACGAAACAAACUUUCUUAUAUAUAUAUAUAUAUAUAAACCUUCAAGAGAGCUUCGCUCUGGAGGAUUCCUUUACGAGGUAAACUAUACGCCAUGCCUGACGACUUCUUCUUCUUCCUCUUCUUCUUCUUCUUCUUCUUUUAACUUUGAUUUUAAAUCUAGUUUUGUAUCUCUUUUGCAUUAACACCGCGUGUCGUCUGCAUGCGCAAAUAAAGGAAAAUGAAAUCCGCCACAUGUGAAAGAAUGCAGCUCACGCCAAACGCCAAAAUUGGUAAAGUGUACAACACAGAAAACCUGAAUUCGGUUGGAGUGGGGCCUCCAAAUUUCAAUUCGCGUCAAGGCGGAAAUACCCAUCACCUCCUCUUCUCUAUUCAUGGAGAGUGUUAAGCCGGAUUAUGUUUUUUUAAAAUUUGUAACGGAUAAUUUUAUACAGUAAAUUAUAUCAAAUAUAGACAUAAAUAUGAAUAAUAUAAAAAAAUUCAAUUUUUUUAUUAUCUGAUAUAUCUUCUUUAAAAUGAGUUUUUAAAAAUUUCAUAUAAUUUUUUUAUUCCAAAACAAACUAAAAGAAUGAAAAAAAUGAAAUAAGUUAUAUGAUAAUAUAAAGUAACAAGAAUAGUUUAGAUAGCUCACUAUAAUAAAUUAUUAAAAAAUCAUUGAUUCAAAAAUUUGACUGGUAAAAAAUAUAAUUUGAAAGGCUGAAAUAGUAAAAUAGAUAAAAUUUAGACAGUAAAUUCAUAAUUAUCCAUUUGUGUCCAAUUGAUCUUGGACUGCCACAAAUUUUGUAUGGUUAAAAUAAAUUAUAAUUUUCAUUUUAAUCGGACCUAGCAAUUGGCAAUAUUAUUCUUUUAUUUACAAAUAAAUCAAAUCAAGUUGGUAUAAUUAUACUCCGCUUGAUCCUCAAUUUGAUGGAUCUACCGUAUUCAGAUUAUAGUUAUUAAAAUCCGAAUUUAGAUCAUAUAAUUUUGUAGUUUUACUAUGAAAUUUAAUUAAUUAAUUUAAUGUUAGAAAGAAUUUUUUCUCUAUUAGAAUUAUAAAAUCUUCACAAACCAGAGAAUAAUAACAACUUGAGCUCAAGAUCAUUAGGAUCGUAUAAAAUCUUAUAAGAUUGCCGUUGAAUUAGGAUUGUACGUAAUUAAAGUUGACCACUUUUCCAAAAUGGUAUUUAAAAAUUAUUUGCAUCAAUGGUGUUGUUCUGAAUUGUUACACUGUGGCAAUUUAUGUAUCUUAACAAAUGAAUUGUUACACUGGCAAUUUUUUAAGACUGUCUGACUCUCUUUAAAUAGUGGUUCCGUUUUUUUUUUUUUUUUUUCCCUGCUAUUAGCAGCAAGCAGGGUUAAAAUAGAAAAAUAAAAUUGAACAAAACCAAUCUAAUUUAAUUUUUCAUUUCGGCUAUUGAAGUUGAUGGAUUUGAUUUAUCUUAAGGUUUUAGAUAAUUUUAAUUUUUAAUUUUUAAUUCGGUUAUAAAAAAUAAGUUCAAUUCGCUAAAAAAUAUUUGUACAUUCAUAUACCGGAUCAUAAUAUAUAUCAUCUUUAUUUUACAAUCAACGAAUUCUAUUUCCAUUGCAAGUAUUUAUUGCUGAAAAUCAACGAAAUCCAAUGCUAUUUAUAAUUUUAUUUUAUGGAUAAUAAUAACAAAACACCAUCUAUCAUGUCAAAUGUAAUAAACAAACUUUAAAUAGCAAUGCAAAAUGAUAUUAAAUUCUCAAUAGAGACGCCUACAGAGAGUAACACCGUCGCCAAUAGAAACUUGCGAGAUCUCUACACGUUGAUCCCGAGACAGGUAGUCAUUGAGUUCCUGUAUAGCUUUUGUCCAGUCCCUGAAAGGCUCUGGAACUUCAUUUUCUUCUUGAGCUACAAACCCAUGCCAUAAGGUGUUAUCAUAAGCAAUUAU